AUCAGGUUCUGGGUUUCCUUACUACCCUUUACGAUCAAGGCUUGGCUUACCGCACCAUAAACGUGUACAGGUCGGCGAUUUCAGCUGGGCACAACGGUUGGGAAGGUUUCCCGGCCGGGAAACACUUAUGGAUCUGUCGUCUUCUACGAGGCAUAAAAUUUGCACGUCCACCACAACCCCGCUACACGGCCUUAUGGGAUGUGAAUAUGGUCCUUCGUUUGUUGCAAGACUGGCCUCCAAACUCGGACCUCACACUCAAACAAGUGUCCGCAAAAUUAGCGAUGCUUCUGUGCUUAAUUUCCUGCAAAAGGGUAUCAGACGUGCGGGCCCUGGAUAUCGAUGCAC